UUCGUCUCUGGAGAGGACUUUCGGCCGCCGAAAGUGCCGCCGAAGGUGCCCUGUUUUGCCUUCCUUUGCAUGUUUUUCCAUGCAUGCUUAUGAUGUUUUAGAGGGUUUUUGGGGAGAUGUUUUAGAGCUUUGCUAGAGUUGUUUAGCACCUCAUGUGAGUCCACCUGUGUAGGAUCAGACCUGAGGCGAGGUGUUUAGCUCCAGUGUUAGAG
rnacentral:lncRNA from 1 species